rnacentral:snoRNA from 1 species
GAAAAAUGAGAGUGAGAAUGGGAGUGAGUGUGAAAUUGAGAGAGAGAAUGAGAGGGGAGAGUAACAAAAAUGAAAACAAAAACAUGAAAGUGAAAACUAUUACAAAUAGGUUUCAGUUUUUAGAUUUUGUUUUCACUUUUGUUACUCCUCCCUCGCAUCCUACUCUCUCAUCUUCCCGUUAAAUCUCAUCUCAACUAUCAUUCUCAUUUCC